GGGGCAAAAAGCUCUCUGGGCUCAAACCCACUUCCCCAGGGUAGCGGUCGAUGGUUUCACUUUCUGGUCUGUUCCUUCCCCAGCUUUCCCCCAGCUUGGGACCUGGCCAGUUCCCAGGCCUGAGGAACUCCUGCCGGCGUUGCUCAGCUCCCUUCUCCUCUCCUCCCUUCCCCCUCUCCCUUCUAGCCUCUUCUUUACCUCCCCUCUCCUCUAUUUUCUCUCCUCUCCCUUCCCCUCCUCUGUCGCCCCCUUCGUCCUCUCCUCUCCCUCCUCCUCCUUUUCUCUCCACCCCUCAUCCCUCCCACCUUUCCCACCCCCUGCCCCUCCUUACCUUCCUUCCCACCCUGGAGGUUGUGAAACUUCCUUUGCCCCCUGCUUCAUAAGGUCAAGAAGACAAGGCUUGAAGUGUACUUUUUCAUCACACCUGAGUAUGACUCAACCCUUCAAAGCUUCACAACCAGCCGCCGCUCUCCUCAUUGAGGAUAUACGGAUAUCGAAUAUCUUUUUCCGGAAGUGACUCCCCCACCCUUGUGGAAAUCUGCAAAAGGGGGGGCCUCCCCCCCAGAAAACAGGGAAAAGACGACAGAUUGCCCUUCAAGUCCCUGGGGUUCCCAGUGCCGUUGAGCGGUUCUGGUUUCGUCUGUGAGUUUUGGGCUCUUGUCUCCGCUGAGCCACUGGAGCAUGACCGCUUCGGAGCCUACGGGUGGCUGUGUAUCUGUGCAGAUGAGGAAACUGAAACUCAGAAGUCGGUGAUUCGCUUAAAGUUAUAUAUACCAAGCAAGUGGGCUCUCUCCUAAGCAGAUUUCUCUCUAGCCCAAGGAAGAAUUUUUUUUUUUUUUUUAACAUUUAUUUAUCUUUGAG